rnacentral:rRNA from 1 species
GACGUAGGGGGCAAGCGUUGUCCGGAAUCAUUGGGCGUAAAGCGCUCGUAGGUGGAUCGGUAAGUCUGCAAAGAAAGACCCGGGCUCAACUCGGGGAACGGUGUGGAUACUACCGAUCUUGAGGCAAUCAGAGGAUGAUGGAAUUCCCGGUGUAGCGGUGAAAUGCGUAGAUAUCAGGAGGAACACCGGUGGCGAAGGCGGGUCUCUGGGCCGAUACUGACGCUGAGGAGCGAAAGCGUGGGGAGCGAACAGG